UGGCGGACGGGUGAGUAACGCGUGGAAAACCUGCCGUAUACUGGGGGAUAACACUUAGAAAUAGGUGCUAAUACCGCAUAAGCGCACAGCUUCGCAUGAAGCGGUGUGAAAAACUCUGGUGGUAUACGAUGGUUCCGCGUCUGAUUAGCUAGUUGGUGGGGUAAUGGCCUACCAAGGCAACGAUCAGUAGCCGGCCUGAGAGGGUGAACGGCCACAUUGGGACUGAGACGCGGCCCAAACUCCUACGGAAGGCAGCAG
rnacentral:rRNA from 1 species